GGUUUUGCUCUUUCUUCUUCCACUGAGUUCCAUACUUUUUCGGUUUUAGAUUGUCGGGGUCGUACCCAACAUACCUCCCAGAGGCAAUCUGUAGUCCAGUAGAACUGCCUACCCUGCUUCGUUACAGGGAAAGUGAGACUCUCCUGUGUUUGUGAAGACAUCAGUUCUGUUGUUGUAAGACUUCAGACUGCAGCAUCAAACAGUAUCUUGCAGUCCAGUAGGACUGCUUACCCUGCUGAAAAGGAAAGUAGCGAGGCUUCUCCUGUGUUCUUGCAGACAUCAGUACUAGUUCUCUGUUGUUGACUGUGUCCAAGAU